UACGUAGGGUGCGAGCGUUAAUCGGAAUUACUGGGCGUAAAGCGUGCGCAGGCGGUCCGCAAAGUCUGAUGUGAAAGCCCCGGGCUCAACCUGGGAACUGCAUCGGAAACUAACGGGCUCGAGUGUGGCAGAGGGGGGUGGAAUUCCACGUGUAGCAGUGAAAUGCGUAGAGAUGUGGAGGAACACCGAUGGCGAAGGCAGCCCCCUGGGCUAACACUGACGCUCAGGCACGAAAGCGUGGGGAGCAAACAGG
rnacentral:rRNA from 1 species